rnacentral:tRNA from 1 species
CAUUAAGAAGCUAAGUAGCAUUAACCUUUUAAGUUAAAGAUUAGGAGUUUAAAGUCCUCUUAAUGA